GGGGCUGUGGCUCCGUGGUAGAGCAUCUGCUUUGUAAGCAGAAGAUUCCAGGUUCAAUCCCUGGUACCUCCA